GGGGACUGAGCUUGGAGAACUCGUAAGUUUAGGCCUUUCGGACGCGGGUUCGAUUCCCGCCGCCUCCACCA
rnacentral:tRNA from 1 species